GAUGAAGAACGCAGCGAAAUGCGAUAAGUAAUGUGAGUUGCAGAUUUCAGUGAAUCAUCGAAUCUUUGAACGCACCUUGCGCCUUGUGGUAUUCCACAAGGCAUGCCCGUUUGAGUAUCAUUAAAUCAUCAACUCUAAAACCUUUGUGGUUUUUUUUAGAGCUUGGUCUUGAGGGUUUUGCAGGCUUUUUUUUUUUUUUCGAGUCUGCUCCCUUUAAAUGCAUUAGCGAGACUUCCCUAUGCUGAACCGUCUCUUUGACGUGAUAAUUAUCUGCGUCGAAUUUUGGUUCUCGUUGGGCUUGCUUCUAAUCGUCUGUUAAAGACAAAACGGAUUUGGGUGCAUAUAUGCGCCUUUUUCCAAAACCUUUUUUUGAUCUCAAAUCGGGUAGGACUACCCGCUGAACUUAAGCAUAUCAAUAAGCGGAGGA
rnacentral:misc_RNA from 1 species